rnacentral:lncRNA from 1 species
UAUAGUAAUUACUUAUAUAACUCUGAAAAAUUUUAAAUUUUCUUAUUUAAUAUAAAAAAUAACUUUUUAAUGUUUCAAUUAAGUUCUUUCAAAUAUAUUUUUACAGUUAGAAUUUGUUAGUAAAUUAUUAGGGACAAGUGUUAUCUCUGUGAUAUUAUCAAUUGCACUUAUAAAUGUAUCCUUCUAUCAUUACUAAUUUUUCUUAUUUACCCCUAAGUUAGAAUCAAAAGAGAGAUUUUUUACUUUUUGUCUUUUCGUAUAUACUUUUUUAUUAUCACUAACUUUUUUAUUUGCAAUGAAGUUAUGGACAAAAGAGGUACUUAUAUAUAUAUUUUUAAUUCUGGUAAAAAUUUAACUCCAGUUUAACUCGAGAUAACUUAACAGACAGUAACAACGGAGUUAUUUUUGAAUUGCGAAGAAAUAUAUGAGGGAUAUAUGCGAAAUAAAAAAAAAUAGAAAUAUAUAAAAUGUUUUAAAAUUUUUGAAAAAGUGUAUAGAUAA